CAUCAAAUCCAUCAUCUUCAAAUGGAAAGAACAUGGUACCACAACAAACCUGCCAAGAGAGGGCCGGCCACCAAAACUCACAGACUGGGCAAGGAGGGCAUUAAUCAGAGAGGCAGCACAGAGACAAAAGCAUUGCAUCCAACAGAUUUACUACAGGCAAAACUGCUGCAAUCCCGCCACAAAGUGACAUUUUGAACAAAUUAUAAUAUUGAGUGACCAUCAGUGUAUUUACCAUUAUACAAGUACAGUUCCGGGAGAAUCCAAGAGGAGGAGGUCCACAGAAAUACAUCAA